rnacentral:rRNA from 1 species
CAGGUCCUACGGGGCGCAGCAGUGGGGGAUAUUGCACAAUGGGGGAAACCCUGAUGCAGCGACGCCGCGUGGGUGAAGAAGCGCCUCGGCGCGUAAAGCCCUGUCAGCAGGGAAGAAAAUGACGGUACCUGAAGAAGAAGCCCCGGCUAACUACGUGCCAGCAGCCGCGGUAAUACGUAGGGGGCAAGCGUUAUCCGGAUUUACUGGGUGUAAAGGGGGCGCAGACGGCGAUGCAAGCCAGUAGUGAAAGCCCG